rnacentral:misc_RNA from 1 species
GAAAUGCGAUAAGUAAUGUGAAUUGCAGAAUUCAGUGAAUCAUCGAAUCUUUGAACGCACCUUGUGCUCCUUGGUAUUCCUUGGAGCAUGCCUGUUUGAGUAUCAUGAAAUCUUCAAAGUAAAUCUUUUGUUAACUCAAUUGGUUUCUACUUUGGUAUUGGAGGUCUUUGCAGCUUCACACCUGCCCCUCUUUGUUCAUUAGCUGGAUCUCAGUGUUAUGCUUGGUUCCACUCGGCGUGAUAAGUUAUCUAUCGCUGAGGACACUGUAAAAGGUGGCCAAGGUAAAUGCAGAUGAACCGCUUCUAAUAGUCCAUUGACUUGGACAAUACUUUUAUGAUCUGAUCUCAAAUCAGGUAGGACUACCCGCUGAACUUAAGC